rnacentral:rRNA from 1 species
UCCUAAGGGGGACUCAUGGAGAACAGAAAUCUCCAGUAGAGCAAAAGGGCAAAAGUCCCCUUGAUUUUGAUUUUCAGUGUGAAUACAAACCAUGAAAGUGUGGCCUAUC